ensembl:lncRNA
CUUUUCUUCUUCUUUGAUUUGCCAAUAUGUCAAUUUAUUACGUUGUUUUCUUUUGUUUGUUUUAUUUAUUUCAUUUUUAUUAUUUUUUUAUUUUACAUCAUUUCAAUUUUUCCAUUGUCAUUGGAACUCCAGAGUGAUUGACCAAUCAUGGGUGUCUGUUGCUCUGCUUGUGGUCCGUGUUCUGUUGGUGGGGUCCAGAUCCAAUGGUGGGAAUGUACUGGACACUUCCACCACCACCUUCAUCAUCACGCCAUCAUCAUCAUCAAUUUAUGCUGCCAAAUUUUCUAACGAUUAGAUGUCAGCACAGGGUUUUGAUUUCAUUGAUUUCUGUUUGUUUUAACCCUUUAAUUUUCCAACAAAGCACUGUGUUGGAACAGUAUACCUCUUUUCUCUUUGUUCACAAUCUCUGUUCCACUUCUCCUUCUGAUCUGCAGUUCAUCUUCCACUUCUGAUAACAAGGGUUGUCUUCCAGCUGCUAGCUGUUUCUUAGAUCUGUAACGUCUAGAUCCGCUAUCUGACUAGAUCUGUAACGUCUAGAUCCACUAUCUGACUAGAUCUGUAACGUCUAGAUCCACUGUCUGACUAGAUCCGCUAUCUGACUAGAUCUGUAACGUCUAGAUCCACUGUCUGACUAGAUCCCCUAUCUGACUAGAUCUGUAACGUCUAUAUCCACUGUCUGACUAGAUCUGUAACAUCUAGAUCCACUGUCUGACUAGAUCUGUAACGUCUAGAUCCACUAUCUGACUAGAUCUGUAACGUCUAGAUCCACUGUCUGACUAGAUCCGCUAUCUGACUAGAUCUGUAACGUCUAGAUCCACUGUCUGACUAGAUCCGCUAUCUGACUAGAUCUGUAACGUCUAGAUCCACUGUCUGACUAGAUCCGCUAUCUGACUAGAUCUGUAACGUCUAUAUCCACUGUCUGACUAGAUCUGUAACAUCUAGAUCCACUGUCUGACUAGAUCUCUAACGUCUAGAUCCACUAUCUGACUAGAUCUGU